rnacentral:lncRNA from 1 species
GACAACUGGCGAUGAUCAAGGUAAAAAUGAAGAGGAAGCAGAGCAUAAAGAAGAUGCUGUAGUUGGAGAGAAGGAUAGGGAAGAUGCCAAAGAAAGUGAAGAGACCAAAGGGACAGAUAAUGAAGAAAGAAAAGAGAAGAAUACUGAAGAAAGCAAGGAGACAGAUGGAGAAGACAAACAGAGUGAAGAGAACAAAGAGAAUAACAUUGAAGACAAGGAGGGUGAACAAAGCAAAGAGAAUGACACUGAAGAAAGCAAAGAGAAGGAAAGUGAAGACAAGGCAAAUGACAAUAACAAAGGUGAAGAGAAGGAAAAUGUAGGGGAGGGUCAAGAAAAAGAGACGAGAGAGUUUGGAGAAGGAAGUAAUGGGAAAGAAACAGAAGAGAACGAAGGUAAGAAAGAGAAUUCUGGUACAUCAGAAGAGCACUUUCAUGAUGAAAAUGGCAGCAACAAUGAGGAAGCA